rnacentral:lncRNA from 1 species
CCAGGUGGCUGGAAUUGGAGAUGAGAGAAGAUGCAGUAGGAACCACCCAGCCACGUGGCUGACACCUAGAGAGCGCCCUACACACACGGGGAUAUCGCAGAGGUCUCUGUCCCCUUCCGCCAGAGACCAAGCAGGUCUAUGACUGCAGAAGAGUCCUAAAUCUCCACCUGUUCAUGGAAAUGAACUCUCCUCCCAAAUCGUCAGCCUUUGCUUUUGCUGAACAUUUAUCCAUUUGGGGACAUAUAUAUUGCACAGAAAUAUGCAUACAGGAUCUUCUACCUCGAUUUGACCAAGAGCGGUCCUGAGCUGGCUGGCCACACACGCCAGUCCUUCCGUCUAGGGGCUGGAGGCAGGACUGAGGAAGCCAGCCCCUGCAGCACGGAUGCUCACGGUCUCGACGGGGCCCUGAAAGCCCUACCUCCAGAGCCGAGAAUGAGUAUUCCUGACGCAGCCACUGGCUCUCUGCCUCCCCACAGGCCUCGGCCGGCCGCAGAGCAGGGCUUCACCCCCUGACUCUGCAGUAUGCUCCCAGAAUUUCCAGGCGCCCCCUGACCUCCGGACAGAGGCUCCGGGGACCACUGAGUGCAUGUGGCCUCAUAAGGGAUGACUCGGCUCUUCUGUGAAUGCCCCGGGCUGGGCUGUCUAAGUGCCUUUGGCAAUGGCCGAGGGGAGGCUGACGCUGCAGAGGAAUAGAAGCUACAGCUCCUUAGAAAAUGUGGGGCUGGCUUCCCGGGAGACCCCGCAAACCGGGCAGUGGAACCCUAUCGGGGGGGCGCUCUCUGGGCAUCUUUCUACCCCAAGUGGCUUCCAGGGGGCGCUAUUUCCUCUUAAGCCAUCAAGAGCAGAGUGUGUGUCUGUGCGUGUGUGUGUGUGUCUGUGUGUUCAAAUUUGGGGGGUUGAGGGUGGUGGGUACAAAGUAAGAAAAAAGGAGAAGGAGAAAGGGAAUAAGUUCCCCAUCUUUCCUCUCCAGCUUAAAUCUCAGCGUUGCGUUCAGAGAGUUUCCAGGACGGAAUUCAAGGCAGGCAGCAAAGUCAUCUUUUUCUGAUCGCAAAACCCUUUAAACAGAGCAAUUCAUCGUUGUGCAAGCGCAGAGCCUCGGUUGCUCCCGAUGUGUUCACCGUCGCUUCUGGUCGCCCUCCUCCGCUGGCCCUGCCCCGGGGCGCAGCCUCCGCUCCCGCAGCGCGCCUGCCGGCACAGCUCACUGCCCGCGGACGGGGUCGACGGAGGGGCUGUAGAGCAAAAGGCAUCGUCCUUUCUAGCAAAUGCACCGAGCUGUGACUUUGAGCUUGACACCUCAGAUUAGGUUCUCACAGGCUAAGUGGCAAGAAGUGUAGACCUGGUCUGUCACUAACCAUGUCUGUUCACCAGCUGCUUACCUUCGGAUCCCCCAGCAUCCUCAUCUGUGGAAGGGAGAGAUGAAAAACGAAGCAAGGAGUGGUAAGCCACACCAAAUAUCUUUGGACAAGCUGGGGCCCCAGCUACGCCUGAAACCCAGAUCUCUUGACUUCAGAUGCAAGGGGCCUUGUCCUGAAAAACUUUCCAAGGCUAAACCAGCCGGAGCAAGCCUGAUGGGCCAGCCAUUUCAAUUCUGUGAGGGGGCUGCUAUCUGCAGCCUCAGGUGUGAGGGCAGCUCCCUGUAGACCAGACAUCACCGACCAGGACAAGCAAGUGCUGGGGCCAGAACCACAGAGGUUGGCCCGCUCCUGGCUAGAAUGCAGCCCCUGUAUGUUUGGUGGGUGUCAGCACACACAACUGGCCUUCAGGAGAGAAACGCCAUGAAUCAGCUCACUCACAACCCCUCCUUCCUGUCUUAACUGUGUCGCCAGUGUCUGCCACAAGUAAGAGCAAAGCAGGCAGAACAAGCCUGGUACCCCUCUAUUUCUGUGACUCCUCCAUUGGCUGCACACUCUUCAUGCCUCCUCUCCCAUCUCCUGAUUCCCUCGGAGCCAGCCUCCCACGCACCCAGAUGAGAAAACUGAGCACAGAGAGGCUGAGUAACUUGCCCGAAGAUAGUAGCUGGCGGAGCUGAGAUUUGAAUCCCAAGAGGCUGAUUUCAAAGCUUCGUUCCUGCGGUAGACACUGCUGGUGGCCCCUAUAUCCUUUCUCUCCUUCUUCCUGAGUAACAGAACACCCAUUGCCUCUUAGAGCCUUCUUACAGCUGGAUGUGUCCCUAUGAAUAAGUUCUGCUGACUGCAAUAUAAAUGGCAGAGUGAUGUGGGAACUCUGGGAAGUUUCCUUCACAAGGAGAAGUCAUGUACUUUUUUCUUCUCCUCCCUGUUUGGAAUGUGGAUGUGAUUGCUGGAACUCCUGAAGCCAUUUUGGACUAUGAAGUAACCUUGAGAAUGUCAAAUUGGAGAGUUGGAAAGAGCCAAGGUCACUAGUGAUGUCACACAUCUGUCUUUCCAGCCCUGAUUGGUCUAACUUUUAUGCUUUGGGGUGGAAAUAAACUUUCAUCUUAUUUAAACCACUACAGUCUAG